rnacentral:rRNA from 1 species
AGAGUUUGGAUCCUGGCUCAGGACGAACGCUGGCGGCGUGCUUAACACAUGCAAGUCGAGCGGAAAGGCCCUUUCGGGGGUACUCGAGCGGCGAACGGGUGAGUAACACGUGAGUAAUCUGCCCUUGGCUUUGGGAUAACUACCGGAAACGGUGGCUAAUACCGGAUACGACCACUCCUUGCAUGAGGUGGUGGUGGAAAGUUUUUCGGCCAGGGAUGUGCUCGCGGCCUAUCAGCUUGUUGGUGGGGUAAUGGCCUACCAAGGCUUCGACGGGUAGCCGGCCUGAGAGGGUGACCGGCCACACUGGGACUGAGACACGGCCCAGACUCCUACGGGAGGCAGCAGUGGGGAAUAUUGGACAAUGGGCGGAAGCCUGAUCCAGCAACGCCGCGUGAGGGAUGACGGCCUUCGGGUUGUAAACCUCUUUCAGUACCGACGAAGCGCCGAUGAUGGUGGUGACGGUAGGUACAGAAGAAGCACCGGCCAACUACGUG